AUUGAACGCUGGCGGCAUGCCUUACACAUGCAAGUCGAACGGCAGCACGGGGGCAACCCUGGUGGCGAGUGGCGAACGGGUGAGUAACGCAUCGGAACGUGCCCAGUAGUGGGGGAUAACUAGUCGAAAGAUUAGCUAAUACCGCAUACGACCUAUGGGUGAAAGCGGGGGACCUUUACCGGCCUCGCGCUAUCGGAGCGGCCGAUGUCUGAUUAGCUAGUUGGCGGGGUAAAAGCCCACCAAGGCGACGAUCAGUAGCUGGUCUGAGAGGACGACCAGCCACACUGGGACUGAGACACGGCCCAGACUCCUACGGGAGGCAGCAGUGGGGAAUUUUGGACAAUGGGCGCAAGCCUGAUCCAGCCAUGCCGCGUGCGGGAAGAAGGCCU
rnacentral:rRNA from 1 species